rnacentral:rRNA from 1 species
UAUCAAGCUACUAAGAGCUUACGGUGGAUGCCUUGGUGCCAGGAGUCGACGAAGGGCGUGACAGGCUGCGAUAAGCUUCGGGGAGCCGCUUAAUAGGCUUUGAUCCGGAGAUUCCCGAAUCGGGCAACCNNNNNNNNNNNNNNNGGAGAAGUGAAACAUCUCAGUACCCUGAGGAAAAGAAAGAAAACCUCGAUUCCCCCAGUAGCGGCGAGCGAAAAGGGAAGAGCCCAAACCCGGUAUAUGUUCAAGCCUGUGUGCGUUGUAUAUCGGGGGUUGUGGGGUUCGUUAGGUGUGGAUACAGACACACCAGAAAGGAACGUGCUUCUAGUCUAAUGUCUCUGGAAAGAGCAACCGGAGAGGGUAAAAGUCCCGUGGACGAAAGAAGUGACGCUUUUCAACGAGUACCCCAAGUACUACGGGAUAGACAAACCUGUAGGAAUCCAGGAGGACCACCUCCUAAGGCUAAAUACUCCCUGGCGACCGAUAGUGAACGAAGUACUGUGA